rnacentral:rRNA from 1 species
GCAACCUACCUUUAUCAGGGGGAUAGCCUUUCGAAAGGAAGAUUAAUACCCCAUAAUAUAUUGAAUGGCAUCAUUUAAUAUUGAAAACUCCGGUGGAUAGAGAUGGGCACGCGCAAGAUUAGAUAGUUGGUAGGGUAACGGCCUACCAAGUCAAUGAUCUUUAGGGGGCCUGAGAGGGUGAUCCCCCACACUGGUACUGAGACACGGACCAGACUCCUACGGGAGGCAGCAGUGAGGAAUAUUGGACAAUGGGUGAGAGCCUGAUCCAGCCAUCCCGCGUGAAGGACGACGGCCCUAUGGGUUGUAAACUUCUUUUGUAUAGGGAUAAACCUAC